rnacentral:rRNA from 1 species
UACGUAGGGGGGCUAGCGUUGUCCGGAAUCAUUGGGCGUAAAGAGCGCGUAGGCGGCCAGAUAAGUCCGGUGUGAAAGUCAAAGGCUCAACCUUUGAAUGCCGCUGGAAACUGUCUGGCUAGAGUCCGGGAGGGGCGAGUGGAAUUCCUGGUGUAGCGGUGAAAUGCGCAGAUAUCAGGAGGAACACCAAUGGCGAAGGCAGCUCGCUGGAACGGUACUGACGCUGAGGCGCGAAAGCUGGGGGAGCAAACGGG